rnacentral:sRNA from 14 species
AGAGGCGGUAUUUGGUGUAUCCAUUUCGAUA